rnacentral:rRNA from 1 species
AACGUAGGACACAAGCGUUAUUCGGAUUUACUGGGCUUAAAGAGUUCGUAGGCGGCGCAGAAAGUAGGGUGUGAAAGCCCUCGGCUCAACCGAGGAAUUGCGCUCUAAACUACUGUGCUUGAGGAAGCUAGAGGUGAGCGGAACUGAUGGUGGAGCGGUGAAAUGCGUUGAUAUCAUCAGGAACACCGGAGGCGAAGGCGGCUCACUGGGGCUUAUCUGACGCUGAGGAACGAAAGCCAGGGGAGCGAACGGG